UCUUAAGGUGCGUAUCCACUUGUUGCGUAUCCUCAUGUAUCAUUUUUCUCAACCGUAUCAAUGGAAUGAACAAGCGUUGAGUAUCAAAAUGUGAUAUGAAGAUACGUCAAUGAAACCGAUGGGUCAUUUGUCGGUUUUUCAUCGUCAUAUCAAAAGAAUCUUUUAGAAUCAUACAAUUGAGUGAAACUUUACUUCACGCGAAAGGUCAUAUCCUUUGUUUUCAUACGAAAUGCAAUGAUAGUAUGUAAUGACGAGGGUACAUAACAAGUGGAUACGCACCUUUGCGAUGUACAUUUUUUGAAAACCUAUUAAAUUUUGUUUCCGAUAAUUGAAAAACCAUAAUUAAAAGGAAGGUAAUGUCGAAGAUGAUGAAGGUAAUGAUUAAUAGUUAUUAAAAAUAAAAUGACUUCAUUACAAAAUAUAUACAUUCCGUUCAGUAAACUGAAAAUCAAAUACAACAGUCGAAUUUAACCGUUCGAACAAAAUUGUUUAAGAGAAACUCUAUAAUGGACUACGUGAAAUAAAUUAUUUAAAAAAA